CUGGGAGGCUAUUUUUUGCGAGGGUUGACUAAAUAUGGUCAGGGAAGAGCGAGGCGCGGGGGAGCCGGGCGGCCCGGCUGUGCGUGUUUCAAAUGCUUAGCCGCCUAUAAAGCCCGGCGGCGGGGCUGCGGGCCGCCAGCGGCAGUGCGGGCGGCGGGGCGCUGACCUCUGCGGACGGAAGGCACGAGGGCUCCGGCAGCGCAGCUCGGGCACGGCGAAGGAACCACCACUGCGGGGAGAGUGGAAGGGGGGGUAGGGGGUGGAGAGACGAUCGCUGCCUUGAUUUUGAUUUUGAAUUUUUCUGAAGACUCCCAACUUUUUUGGGGGGGGCUGUUUUUUAUUUUUUGCCCGUGACUACUUUCAUCUAAGCCCACCUUCUCAUGGCUUGCCAGCACCCAUCCUUGGACUCUUAGCUCCCAGCCCAGCAGCCGUGAGGUACCAUCUCUCCACCACCACCACCCACCACCCCACCGCAGGCUGCAGGUGCCCCGCACCUCUCCGCAAUCCGCAGGCCCAGCCCGAGGAGCUGGGCCCUGGCCGCACCGCUGCCAGCCUGCAUGACCCUGAGCUCAGGUUCCUACAUGAAGCACGUACAUGGAAGUAUGCCUGAAGACCUCAGAGAAAGCUGCCAUUUUUGCACUGGAAUACAACUCUGAAUCUCAAGAACACAUCCUGCAACAUUACCAGUGAUUCAAGGCUCCGUUCAACCCUGGUCACUCAGAACAGCAAGCAGCUGCAGAAGCCUGGAUAAGCACUUCUCAUGUCAGUGCCAUCAGAGUAAUGAACUAUAACAGGCUUUAAGCCACCGUACAGGUAAAUUGCAUUGCUAAGUUCAGUUAGAUUAAUAAGAUGGGUUUUUCUAUCAUCAGUUAAUUGUAACGUUGUACUCCCAAAGAAAUCUCAGCCUCCAAUUUUACUUAAUGAAAGAAACAGUAAGCAGCAAAGGGCUUUUCAGGUUCACCUGACAGGUAGCAGAGCAACUCUACAGGUACCUGCUCAGAGCACAUACUUCUUUAUGUACCCAUAUGAACAUACAAUGCUAUGGAAUGUAAAGAAGUAUGUAUUUUUGGCAGGCACAGAACGACCAGUAAGAGGAAACUAACAGCUGUUGGGAAGAGCGUGCUUCCCCACUAUUUGAAUGACAUUCAAGUGACAAGUUAACUGGCUAAGGGUCAGCCAGCACUGCCUAAAUAACAUAUACUUAUUAGUAACAACUCACAAAGCAUUAAAUUAAGGGACUAUAUACGUGGGCUGAGAAAGUUUUUCUUGGAUUACUAACAGAACAUCAGCUGUAAUCACAAAACCCACAGUGAGGCUGGGAACAAAUAGUUCAACGUGCUAAUUCCAAUCAGCAAAAGUUAUCAUUACAGUACACUUCAUACAGCAGAUCUAAACAAACUUUAAAAGCCCAAUUACCAAAACAGAUCUCAUUUAACCAAGCCAUUGUUUUACUGAUGGCAGCAAGUUCUGUGCACCUACAAUGGCACCUUUUCAAUUCGCAUCUACUAUGGAAUAUUUAACAACUUACAGAGUGCAACUAGGACAACAAGCAGAAAGAGAUGAGAAAUUAAGGCUGUGAUUUAGAGAAAAGGAUAUACAGAAGUAUAUUAAGUGCAAUGACAUCUACCAUUUAGUAUAUAACAUUUAGGUUAGAAUUUUCUCCAAAUCAGCAUUUACUGUGUUCACUGAGCUCUUUGGUACAAACUGCUGUGUCUGGUUUAUGCACAGAAAGUGACAAUACAGAGAUUUCUAGGCCCCAGUUGCUAGUCAGCAGAUUAAAGCUAUUGACAGAUUCCUAAAGGGAAACACGAAUGGCAAAUAAUACUUACCUAAGUUACCUUACACGUCAUUUUCAAAUUAACUGCAUUGACUUUAAAUCUGGAUUUAAGAAAACUGGCCAUGCAAACAUCUUGAAUCACCUCAAAAAUUUUAAGACCUACUCUAUAAAAAAAGUCCCACAAGUUUCAAGUUCUAAAAGCAGGAUUAAUUAAAGUAAGCGAAUACAUACCAUCCCUAAGCUAAGGGGCUCAAUGCUAAAUUCAGAAAUAGGGGAAAAUCUGAGGAAUACUCUCAGCUCACCAGUACAGCAAUUCUAUUCAUAAAGCAGCCUUCUAAGAGCAGUUAGAUGAUACAUUCAUGAGAAGCAGGCACAUUUGGCCCAGAUUAAGAAUUCUAACUCUAUCCAUGUGCUUAUUAAAAUGUCUGGGGGAAAAAACAAACAAACAAACAAACCAAAACCACAAAGCAACAAACCAAGUUUAGAUUGAGAACCUUUUUUAAAGUACUCGAAUAAUUCUCAAAUCGCUGUUAUACAUAGCCUGCUAUUUUUAUUACCUGAAACUAUGGAAUAACGCACAGAAGAAAGAACGUUCUCUAAUCAGAACCGUUUAUGCUAAAGUGAAAUGCUAACAUCACUUAAAAAGCUGUUUCUCUUAGAAGCAGAUAUUGUGGCAUAGAGACAAUGGCAUCUCUAAAUCCCAAUUAAAAUCUACUUUAUAGCGGGAAACAAACCACAGUGGCUAUUCUCAACUGUGAUGCUACUGAACUCGAUCACACUCACAGAAGUAGUCUGGUAUUACCACCAGCUUUACAGAGAGGUUAAUUGCUAAGCAUCCAGUUGUUCUACUGAAGAGUUCCUGUCCUAUGUGCUAAUUGAUUUGGCCUCUGCUCUAUGCUCAAACUUUUUAACAUCUCGAAUGUAUUUAGAGAGGUUUUUGGUAACAAGUCAUCAUGUCGAGUUCUUUCUCCUCUGCUUUGUGUAACAUUACAGCUCUGUUCCGAAACAAAAUGACAGUUCUGAGUGACACAGAAGUUAAAAUUAUACCUUGACACUGCUUCCUGCUAGUUCAUGUUAGCGUAGCUCUAAGAAUACAUACCCAGUCACUCUGAAAUGUCACAUCCAUCAGUUAGAUCAGCUGUUCGGUUUUUAACUGAGCACACGUUGAACUUUGGGCAUCUGCUGACACAGUUGCAACUCAAACAUUUCAACUGUGUGACUGACAGGGAUAACAGAUGCUGACAUUAUCAAAUGCUACACGGCUUUUUUUCCAUGGCCGUUUUUUGUCCCGAUAUGGCCAGUACAUGCAACUGUAUUACCAUCCAAAAGCACACUUGAGCAGCUGUAUCUGUAAAACAGUUCUGUAUAACUGGUAAAAAUAGAAACUCAUUUUAUAACCAUCUUUAAUGCUGAAGUCCAAGUGACACACCUGCUAUGUUUCUAUUAGCAUGCAUGCUGUUGGGAAUAUAUUUACAUAAAUCUUCUCACCAGUAUCAGACCUUGCAGCACAGAUGCAGACUAUACUUGACACAGUCAUUAGUAGUGAAUGGCUUCAACUAACUUUUGUCUACCAUUUCCCACUGCAGUCAAAGCUCAUUAAAAAAAAAAAAAAAAAAAAGAAAAAGAAAACACCACCGAAGUCAGCACACGACAUAUAAAAAGCUGUGGUAGCAUGUGCAAAUGUAUUAAAGGAGUUUUGGUUUAGGAGGAAAAAAAGCCAAACCAAACAGAUUAAAUCCCAGAUCAUUUUAAAAACUGCAUUUUUCCUGAUAUAUAACGUUUACAUAUACAAACAAGUAGGGGAAAAAAAAUUAUCUGUCUUGCUAUAUUAUGUAAUCAUUCCUAAAAAGUUAAUACUAACCAGAGAUAUAGUGAUGGAAUUGAAAGCACUUGACAUUUACACUUGUGCUAACCAAGUACAGCACUAAAGCAGCUGCAGAGGGUAACCUGCCAGAAAACCAAGGGGGUAGGGAGGUGGCAAAAUGAAACCUUCUCUCCAGUAAAUGCUUAACACUGGGAGGCAAAGGAGCCUGACAUGAGUACAACCUGAAGUACACCGUUUCUGCUCACUGCUCUAGAAUUUCACUAUUGCAGAUCAAAAAGAGUUUAAACUGUGAGUAGAAUUUGAGCUGAGUCUCAAAGAAAUAGGCAAGGAAAACACAAGGUUGUAUGUGUGAGGCCUCACUGGUACAUCUCUCUCCAUUUUGCCACUUCAAAAUUAAAGAAUUUACAUUUGCAAUGACUGGAAACAAAACACGUAACACAGGAGGAAGCCACGUGUUCUUUGUGAAUGCUCCACGUAUGCUAAGGGGUCUUAAAAAUACAUUAUUAAAUUAUAACCUUCCUGCACUCCAAUGCUUUGCUAAAGCUGGUAAAAUGGAACCAAAUCACCUCUUCAAUGGAUUUGGUCCCCUUCAACCAGCUGUAGCUAUGCAUUGAUCACUACAGGAUUUUUAUUUAUUCAUUUUAACAUAUUUAAAGCUAGACAGUAAGCCAGAAUUAUAUUAUUAUACAAUAUAUUAAUUAUAUAUAUAAUACAUAAUUAUUCAGUCCUUUGCAGAGAGGGUUAAUUUUGUUCCAGGCACUUAUAAGACUGAAAGUAACAAGAAUUACAGUGAAUUCAGUAUUUCAAAAAUCCCAAGGUUGCACCUGUAAAUAAACAGCUUUAGUGUUUUAAUAUCAUGUCUAUAUCCAUUGCAAACUGAUCUUACAGCAUUUUUGAAGAUAGGCAAACAGUGAAAUAAACACAUUUUCCAAUGAC